rnacentral:tRNA from 1 species
GGGGAUGUGGCUCAAGUGGUAGAGCGCUCGCCUAGUAUGUGUGAGGCACUGGGUUCCAUUCUCAGCACCACA